rnacentral:rRNA from 1 species
CUACGGGGGGCAGCAGUGGGGAAUAUUGGACAAUGGGGGGAACCCUGAUCCAGCCAUGCCGCGUGUGUGAAGAAGGCCCUCGGGUUGUAAAGCACUUUCAGUGAGGAAGAACGCCUGGUGGUUAAUACCCAUCAGGAAAGACAUCACUCACAGAAGAAGCACCGGCUAACUCCGUGCCAGCAGCCGCGGUAAUACGGAGGGUGCGAGCGUUAAUCGGAAUUACUGGGCGUAAAGCGCGCGUAGGUGGCUUGAUAAGCCGGUUGUGAAAGCCCCGGGCUCAACCUGGGAACGGCAUCCGGAACUGUCAAGCUAGAGUGCAGGAGAGGAAGGUAGAAUUCCCGGUGUAGCGGUGAAAUGCGUAGAGAUCGGGAGGAAUACCAGUGGCGAAGGCGGCCUUCUGGACUGACACUGACACUGAGGUGCGAAAGCGUGGGUAGCAAACAGGAUUAGAUACCCCUGUAGUC